GAUGAACGCUGGCGGCGUGCCUAAUACAUGCAAGUCGAGCGAACAGAUGAGGAGCUUGCUCCUCUGACGUUAGCGGCGGACGGGUGAGUAACACGUGGAUAACCUACCUAUAAGACUGGGAUAACUUCGGGAAACCGGAGCUAAUACCGGAUAAUAUAUUUAACCGCAUGGUUCAAUAGUGAAAGACGGUUUUGCUGUCACUUAUAGAUGGAUCCGCGCCGCAUUAGCUAGUUGGUAAGGUAACGGCUUACCAAGGCGACGAUGCGUAGCCGACCUGAGAGGGUGAUCGGCCACACUGGAACUGAGACACGGUCCAGACUCCUACGGGAGGCAGCAGUAGGGAAUCUUCCGCAAUGGGCGAAAGCCUGACGGAGCAACGCCGCGUGAGUGAUGAAGGUCUUCGGAUCGUAAAACUCUGUUAUUAGGGAAGAACAAAUGUGUAAGUAACUAUGCACGUCUUGACGGUACCUAAUCAGAAAGCCACGGCUAACUACGUG
rnacentral:rRNA from 1 species